rnacentral:lncRNA from 1 species
UUGUUAGUAUGUAUGUAGAAAUGCUAUUGGUUUUGUGUGUUGACCUUUUAUCCUGUUACUUUUCUGAAUUAACUUAACAGUUCUAACAGUUUUUUGUGGAAUUUUAAAGGUUUUUAAAAAUAUAAUAUUACAUCAUCUGUGAACAGAGAUAAUUUUUCCUCUUAAAUAUUUUCCUGAUCAUUGCUUUUACUGAGUUCCAUAAGUUUUGAUGUAUUGUGUGUUUAUUUUCAUUCAUCUUUCAGCAUUUUCUCAUUUCCCUUGUAAUUUCUUCUUUGAUCCAUUGGUUGUUUAAAAUUGUUAAUUUCCAGAAAGUUG